rnacentral:rRNA from 1 species
AAAACAUAACCUUUAGCUAAACAAGUAUUAAAGGCAACGCCUGCCCAGUGAACAAUUAAACGGCCGCGGUACCCUAACCGUGCAAAGGUAGCGUAAUCACUUGUCUAUUAAUUGUAGACCAGUAUGAAAGGCAAAAUGAGGGUCUAUCUGUCUCUUACAAUAAAUCAAUUAAACUGAUCUCCUAGUAAAAAAGCUAGAAUCCCAACAUAAGACCAGAAGACCCUGUGAAGCUUAAACUAAACUAUUAAACCCUAUAAUACCUACUUUCGGUUGGGGCGACCUUGGAAAAAAAAAGAACUUCCAAAUAUAUGACUACUCUCACACACAGGCCCACAAGCCUUAUAAUAGACCCAGUAUGACUGAUAAUUGAACCAAGUUACUCCAGGGAUAACAGCGCCAUCUUCUUCAAGAGUCCAUAUCAAAAAGAAGGUUUACGACCUCGAUGUUGGAUCAGGACAUCCUAAUGGUGCAGCCGCUAUUAAGGGUUCGUUUGUUCAACGAUUAACAGUCCUACGUGA